rnacentral:rRNA from 1 species
UACGGUAACGGCUUACCAAGGCGACGAUCAGUAGCCGACCUGAGAGGGUGAUCGGCCACAUUGGAACUGAGACACGGUCCAAACUCCUACGGGAGGCAGCAGUGGGGAAUAUUGCACAAGGGGCGAAAGCCUGAUGCAGCAACGCCGCGUGAGUGAUGAAGGCCUUCGGGUCGUAAAACUCUGUCCUCAAGGAAGAUAAUGACGGUAC